CCUCAUUCUUGGUACCAGUCGACGUGUUCUAGUUCAAGUGCAUAAUUUUCUUAUACGAAAGUGAAAAUCAAGUGUCAAAACCCUCUACAUUAAACGAGGAUCAUUACUUCUUAUUACAUUAGGCAAUUAUCUAUUCUUCCUUUAUUUGUAAGAGACUCAUUAUUGGGAGUUUCAUCACGCCUAAUAGAACUCCGGACCUGUGGUUAUACCUGGGCCCGUCAACCUACCUGACGUCAUAAACUCACGCUGGUACCAGCUCUUUUACAGUGACAACAAGGACACAGCAGUGGUCCUUUUUCUUUCAACACACCUACUACUGAAUUUUAAGUUGAAUGCUGAACUCUCCAUUUUCCUGGAUUGGUUGGUUCGAGAUUCCCUUUCUCUCAUAAGAACGAAUUAUUGUAACUAAAAAUACUUGUCUAAAUAAAUUGUAACCUAAUUAUAAAAUUAA